AUUGAACGCUGGCGGCAUGCCUUACACAUGCAAGUCGAACGGUAACAGGUUAAGCUGACGAGUGGCGAACGGGUGAGUAAUGUAUCGGAACGUGCCCAGUCGUGGGGGAUAACGUAGUGAAAGCUACGCUAAUACCGCAUACGAUCUACGGAUGAAAGCGGGGGAUCGCAAGACCUCGCGCGAUUGGAGCGGCCGAUAUCAGAUUAGGUUGUUGGUGAGGUAAAAGCUCACCAAGCCUGCGAUCUGUAGCUGGUCUGAGAGGACGACUAGCCACACUGGAACUGAGACACGGUCCAGACUCCUACGGGAGGCAGCAGUGGGGAAUUUUGGACAAUGGACGCAAGUCUGAUCCAGCAAUGCCGCGUGCAGGACGAAGGCCUUCGGGUUGUAAACUGCUUUUGUACGGAACGAAACGGUGAGCUCUAAUACAGUUUGCUAAUGACGGUACCGUAAGAAUAAGCACCGGCUAACUACGUGCCAGCCGCCGCCGUAA
rnacentral:rRNA from 1 species